rnacentral:lncRNA from 1 species
AUAAAAGUGAUUUAAAGUCAAAUAAAAGCUGAGAUAAUUCUUCAUUUGAAAACCAAUAAGAAAAAAUAAAUAGCUAACACUAAAAGUAAGAUGUUUAGGCUACAGGAAAAUGAUGCCAGAUGUAAGAACAAAGUUGAAGAGAGAAAGGAAGAUCACCAGAAGAGUGAGUGUAUAAAUACUGAUGACAAAUCCACGAGAACAGUGUCUAUUUGAGGUAAAAAUAGUCAUCAUAAAAAUAAUGAUAAAUAUCUACUGGACUUUAAAACACGUAAAUUAUUUUAUAACAGUAGCAAAAAAGAGGAUUAGAGUUCAAAUAUAUAAUUGUCUUAGUCCAUUUUGUGUUGCUAUAACAGAUAAGACUAAUUUAUAAAGAAAAGAUAUGUAUUUGGCUUACAAUUCUGGUGGUUGAAAAGUGUAAUAUUGGCCAUAAGCAUCUGGUGAGGGCCUAAGGCUGCUUCACUCAUGAUGGAAAGCAGAAGGGUAGCCAGCAUGUGCAAAGAUAUCAAAGGGCUAUAAAGGAAGGAAGAAGAGAAACCAGGGAAGCUGGAUUCUUUUUAACAACGCACUCUUGCAGGAACUAAUCCAUUCCUAUGAGAGGGAGAGCUCAGUCAACCCUAUAGAGGGCAUUAAUUUAUUAAUGAUGGAUCCACCCCUGUGACCCAAAUACUUCCCAUGAGGCUGCCCCUCCCAGCACUGCCAUGUUGGAGAUGAAAUUUUAACACAAGUUUUGUCCAGAACAAAGCAAACCACAGCAAUGUUUAUUUGAAUCCUUAUGCUAAAUUAUUGAGAAAAUCAUUUAACAGUAUAUAAGUAAAACGAAAGGCUACUAAGGGUGACAAAAUGGAAUAAUAAAAAAGAUGAUAAAUACAAAAUCAGGUAGGAAAGUUGAAAUAAAGGCAAAAAGGAAGCACAUAGAACAAAUCUUAAAAGAAAGCAAAUAGCAAGAUAUAACCCAACUCUAUCAAUAAUUACAUUAGAUGUAAAUGUGCUAAAAUCUCCAACUACAAUGCAAAUAUUUUUAUACCGAGGUUUCAGUGUCAAUUAUACAUUGUUUACAAGAAACACACAUUAAAUAAAUGGAAAGAAGUAAGUUGAAAGUUAAAAGAUGAAAAUGAUAUACUAUGCAAGCACUAAAAGAAAGCUGAUAUUGUUAUAUUAAUAUCAGACAAAAUAAAACCUAAGACAAGAAUUUUUACAAGAGGUAAAGAGGGAUGUUUUAUAAUAAUAAAAUGCUUAAUUCAGAUAGGGUAUGUUGCAAUCUUAAAUUUGUGUGCAUUUAAAACGUGUGUGUGUGUGUGUGUGUGUGUGUGUGUGUGUGUGUAUUAAGUAGAGAACUAAAAAGUAAAGUAGAAAAAUCCACAAUAAUAGUUGGACAUUUUAACAUAGCUCCUUAAACAUAACGAAACAAAAAGACAACAUAAUUAACAAGUAUAUAGAAGAUUUGAAUAUCACAUUUAAAAACUUGACCUAAUUGGCAUAUAUAGAACAUUGCAGCAACAACUGUAGAAUACUCUCUUACUUUCAAAUACUCUCUUACUUUCAGAUACUCUCUUACUUUCAGAUACUCUCUUACUUUCAGUAUACCCUAAAGAGUUACCAAAAGACAGGCAAUGACAAUAUCCUCAAAUAUCUGAAAAAUAAACACCACUUUUCUAAUAACACAUGGGUACACAAAAGUAACAAUGAGAAAUAUCCUUAACAGGUCAAUGAUGAAAACACAGUAUAUCACCACUCACAUUGUGCAGUUAAAACAAUGUUUUGGAGAAAAUACCUUUAAAUAAAUAUUUAUCAAAAAGAAGAAUGGUUAAAAAUAAAUAUUAGGCUUCUUAUUAGUUAUAAAGAAAUCCAAGAAAUUACUAGCAUUUUUCAGUGAGCACAAUUAAAUUUUGCAAGACUUUCUGUAAGUCACCAGUGUAUAUAACUUUUUUGUGAUGUCUCAUCCCUUUAUAUUAAGAAAUGCAAUAGUAAAAUAAGCUCCAAACUGAAAUGUAAAAACGGAGAAUUAGAAAGAAUAUUUGAUUUAUUAGCCUUAAGGAAAAUUAGCUGUUUAAACUCCAAAAGCCACAUUUAGUUCAUGUUUUGGUUCUGACAAUUAUAGGUAGAAUGCCAUGAAGAAUGAAUUUUAAACUUGUUUAAAUUUUGUUGAUCCUCAAUUGAACAUCAAUGGCUCUAUGUAAUCCUGAAUAAUAGCGAUCUGGACAUCCAGACCAGUAGGUAGUAUUUGGCAGGUUAGAUCGGCUAGCAAAUUCUAAGAAGUUUAAUCAGGGAUUGGGAGAAUCCUUUGGGAGAGCCAGGAGCUCAGGUUUUUCCCAGAGAACAAACUAUAACCUAGUACCAUUACCAUUGCCUUGCAUAAUCCUGAAGGGGGUUGAGGGGACACACCUGCGGAGUCAGAGGUUAAAGGGGCAGUUGAGAGGGAUCUGGGUAUUUGGGAGGAGAAGGGAGGGUGCCCCAGGGGCUGUAGAAGAAGGUGGAGUAGAGAUGGAAAGAGGAGCAAAAGGGGAGACAGGAAAGGGGAGGAAAAGAGUCAACUGUAAAUUUGCAAACAUGCAUGUUACAUAUGUCCCAUGUUCAUGAUAAGGUAGAAACUUAACAGUUAAAUGCAUUAAAAUUAGACCCUACAUGUCAAAAAAUGAAAUGGAGAACACAGAGGCAUCUUGUGUGCAGCCUCUGUAAACCAGCCAGAGAUAGUCCAUGGUCAGUUGUCAAUUAUCAGAAAGAAAUGUAGGUCAGGUGCUGUGUGGAAAAUGGCAAAAGGGAGGAAAGUCCAGCAAGUCUUUCAGAAGGGGCUGGUUUCUGCUUAACCCUUAGGAAAGAAAGUCUAAUGGUGGUUAGUGAGGGAGGAUGUAUAAAGAAGCAUGUGUGAUCUCCCAUCUCGUCAUGGCUGGGAUCUCAGUUUCUAAGGUUUCUCUGGAGUCCCUUUGGCCAAGAUGAGUCCGUUCAGUCAGUUGGGGGACUUAGGAUUUUAUUUUUAUUUCUCAACAGCUACAUCCAAGGAAGCCAUCUCAAGUACAUACAAUGCACUGAAAACUUGGUCCUCAUGCUUAUGUGGAUGUCCUUUGUAUCCUGUGACACUCUCACACCUUUCAUCAAUUCAUAAAAAAGAACGUUAAAAAAAAAAAAAAGAUUUCUCUGCUUCCAAAUAGUAGAGAAGGAAACAGAGGGAAAAAAGUAACUUUACAAUGAAGACCGCUACACACUGCCUCAGCCAGGUGAUCAAGGUUAAUGAUGAAUCUUAUUUAUAAUAUGAACCCAUGUUAUUAUGUGAAGAGAAUGGCCCUUUACCCCUUGUGCUCUUUUUUUUUUUUCCAAAAACACAUAACCUCUAUUUGACCAUGAGAAAAACACUAAACAAAGCCAAACUGAGAGUCAUUGUACACAAUUCCUGGCCACUACUUGUCAAAAUUGCUAAGGCUAACAAAAGCAAGAAAAAUCUGAGAAACACUCACAGACUAGAGGAGAGCAAGGAGACAUGACAACUAAAUGAAGUGUGGUCCUUGGAAGGGAUUCUGAACAGAAAAUAGACUUUAGGUACAAACUUGAGGAUAUCUGAAUACAGUAACAAAUAUGGUUAACACUAAUGUACCAAUGUUGGCUCUUUAAUUGUGGUAAAUGUACCAUCCAUAAUAGAAUGUGCUACCAGUAACGAACACUUGGGUUAUGGGGUAUACUGGGACUCUCUGUACUAUUUUUGUAACUUUGUAAACCUAAAUUUACUCUAAAAUAAAUUUUAAUUAUGCCUGAAAGCAUUUAGCCCUUUUGAUUGAGAAGCAAUAUUUUCUCUAGAGAGAAAUGUGUUUUUUAAGACAUGUUUUGUUCUUUGACAUUUAUGAGGGAAAUAAUGCUCUGAAAUGUCUCCUUGACUAACAUUUCUUUAAAAACUUGUCUGAAAUUGUUUGUAUUUCGUAGUUUUGGAAGAGCAGACAACAGUAGCCUUCCCUAUUAAUUCUUCAUCUUCCUAUUGCUUUUAUCAAUAGGUGUAUUUUCAGAAUCACAUCUGCAGUUUUCAUGGAAAAUGCAUUGCUCGUUGGCUUCCCGACAAUGUUUGAGUAAUUGCCUCAUGUUUUCCAGCAAGCUGUGAGACCAACUCUGAGUACGGACAUAUAUCAAAAACAGAACCUAGCAAAUGCACUUUAGUAAGGCUCAUGUUUUACAUGUAAACACAUUGUCAAUUGUUGGAGAAACAUAAUUAAAAUGAAAUCUCCCAACCCGGAAAUCCUCUCCACAAAGAAAGAAGAGAAGGAGCAAGGAAAACAGAUGAAGAAGAAACAUUUAGUGAGGUUGGAAUGUGUUGUCCCCAGCAGCAGAAUGAAAAAGAUUGUAAAUAUACUAAACACUGCUGAGAAAUCAAGAAAGGUGAGGAUUGAGAAAAGAUUGUGGUUCUGACUAUACAGAAGUUAUGAAGAUUUUUACAGAUUCCUGUUCAAUGAAAAAGUGAGGGAGUAAUUCAAAAACAGAACAUGAAAUUAAUGUGCCAAGUAUACAAAACUAUUUUGAGUCAUGUUGGAAAGACAACAAGAGAGAAGAGAUGGCAGUUUGUGGGGGUAAUGAGGUCUCCACAGUUAUAUUACAGUGUGAUAUACAGCAUGACAUAUCUAUAGCCACACAUAAAUCUAUCUAUAUUUGUCAAUAUUUAUUUUUAUAAUUAUACAUAGAGGAUAAACAGAGAAGCUGAUAAUAUAGGAAAAAUAAGGAAAAUCUUAAGCGUAAAUCUAUCAAUUAAGCAAGAAGGGAGAGGAUGUAGUGGAGAUCUUGGUCUUUUAUGGGAAUAGGUAAAGUGUAUUUUAUUAAUUUUCUUUUAAAAUAUUUAUUUAUGGUUUAUUUUAUUUCCAUCACCUCAAGCAUUUGUCCUUUCUUUAUGUUACAGACAAUCUAAUUAUAAUUCUUUUAGUUAUUUUUAAACGUGCAAUAAAUUAUUGUUGAUGUAGUCACCUGUUAUGCUAUCAAAUACUAGAUCUUAUUCAAACUAUAAUUUUGUACCUAUUAACCAUCCCCACGUCCCCCCCAUCCCCACUACCCUUCCACAAUUCUAAUAUCUCUAAAUUUAAAUUGACAAAUAAUAAUUGAAUAUAUUUAUGGAUACAAUGUGAUAUUCUGAUAUAUGCUUACAAUGUAAAAUGAUUAAAUCAGGCUAAAUAAAUUCAUCACCCCAUAUAAUUAGCAUUUCUGUGGUGGAACAUUUAAAAUACACUAGUUUUGCAAUGUUGAAUUAUCCAAUGCAUUAUUUAUUAUAGUUACCACUCACCAAUACAUUACUGAAUCUUCUAUCUUUUGUCUAACCAAAACUUUGUACUCUUAGAUCAAUCUCUCUCUGUUCCCCAUCCACAUCCCCUCCUCUAGUAAUCAUCAAUUUUGUAUUGCUGCUACAAAUUUCUACAAAUUGCUACAAAUUUUGUGACUUAAAACCACACAUAUUUACCUUACAAGUCUGUUGGUCAGAAGUCUGACAACAAUCUCACUGAGUUAAAAUGUAGGUGUCAGCCAGGUGCCUUUCCUUGCUGGAAGCUCUGGAGGAAGUCUGUUUCCAUGAGCUUACUAGCAUUUAGAGACCACUCACAUUCUUUGGCUGUGGCAUCCUUCCUCUUUUUUUUAAAGUGAGAAACACAUCACAUGGCACUGGUCAUGCUGCCAUAGUCACGUUGCCCUCUGACUCUACUGCCUCCCCCUUCCACUUCUAAGAACUAUUUUCGUUACUUUGGCCCCAGGGAGAUAAUCUUAGAUAAUCACCCCAUCUCAGAUUCCUAGAUUUAAUCACAUCCACAAAGUCCAUUUUACCAUGUAACGAAGUAUACUCCUGGAUAUUCCUGAGAGCAAUUAUUCUGACUAUUCCAUUCAUUUAUCAGCUAAACAGGCAGGAAGAUAUUACAAACACAGAUAAGAUGGUAAAUGUAUUGCUGAGGAAAUGUAGUUCUCAGUUUACUGCCUGUGAUUUAUCAUUGAAUUAGGAAGAAUAAAUAUUGGAAGUUUGCUGAAAGGAAAAAUCAGUAUUUUGGCAUAUGGGAGAAUGAAUUAGCUAGGCUAGUAUUAGACUUUUUAAAUCUUACUUUAACUUUCAGAUGACUAUUCAACAUAGUUGUAUAUUUUCUCCAUUGGAUUUCAUAUGUUAGUAUCUUGUAGAUGGAUAUUUGGGUUAACCACGUGAACAAGAGGAGAAACAAGGCACUUGAGGAUGUAUACAGAAGAAUGUUUAUCACCAUGAACAAUUAUACCCUGCCUAUGCAAUAGGACAUGAAAAUACAAGGGCAAUAAUGAGCACUAACAUGGUAGAUUAGAGACCCUAAUGUGUAAGAGUUUUGAAAAUGAUCAGCUCUAGGAGUAGAGAUAAGAAAGAAUCAGACAGUGUGAUAGUUAAUAUUUUUUAAAUGGAACUGGCAUAAUUAUUAUUAAAGGCCAAGUAAAAGAUAUGACCUUGGGAGUAGGCCUGAAAUCUUGGUAGAGAAAAUAUGGUCAGAAGUUCAAAAGUAAAAAAAAACAAGAAGCUGCCAUUCCCCACAUCUGUGUGUCUGUAAGAACAUGCAUGUGUCUUCCUUUCAUUCAUUCUUUUGUUUUCUUUCUUCCUGCCUGCCUGCCUUCCUUCCU